rnacentral:rRNA from 1 species
GACGAACGCUGGCGGCGUGCUUAACACAUGCAAGUCGAACGCUGAAGCUCAGCUUUUGUUGGGUGGAUGAGUGGCGAACGGGUGAGUAACACGUGAGUAACCUGCCCCCUUCUUUGGGAUAACGCCCGGAAACGGGUGCUAAUACUGGGUAUUCACUGGUCUUCGCAUGGGGGUUGGUGGAAAGGGUUUUUCUGGUGGGGGAUGGGCUCGCGGCCUAUCAGCUUGUUGGUGGGGUGAUGGCCUACCAAGGCUUUGACGGGUAGCCGGCCUGAGAGGGUGACCGGUCACAUUGGGACUGAGAUACGGCCCAGACUCCUACGGGAGGCAGCAGUGGGGAAUAUUGCACAAUGGGCGCAAGCCUGAUGCAGCGACGCCGCGUGAGGGAUGGAGGCCUUCGGGUUGUGAACCUCUUUCGCUCAUGGUCAAGCCGCAACAAUGGUUGUGGUGAGGGUAGUGGGUAAAGAAGCGCCGGCUAACUACGU